UACGGGGGGGCAAGCGUUGUUCGGAUUUACUGGGCGUAAAGGGCGCGUAGGCGGUCAGCACAAGUCAGUUGUGAAAUCUCCGGGCUUAACUCGGAAAGGUCAACUGAUACUGUGCGACUAGAGUGCAGAAGGGGCAACUGGAAUUCUCGGUGUAGCGGUGAAAUGCGUAGAUAUCGAGAGGAACACCUGCGGCGAAGGCGGGUUGCUGGGCUGACACUGACGCUGAUGCGCGAAAGCCAGGGGAGCGAACGGG
rnacentral:rRNA from 1 species